UAUCGUUACUAUCGAUAGUACCAUCGAGAGUUUUGCACCCCUAGUUUUGUGGUUCAUGAAAAAUUUAGUUUGAUUUAGUUCUUUAAACUAGUUCAUUCAAGUGCGUGUGAAUUAUAUGUGUACAUAUAUAGAAUUCUAGAUGAACUACAUUUUUUAAAUUGACUAAAUAAAAUUUGCUUUAAAUCUAAUCAAUAUCCGAAUUGUGAAAACUGUCCCAUAUAUGAAUUGUGUUACAAAUAUUCCAAUACAAACCUUCUUUAUGUACAAAAUAUGUAGUUAUGGUACUGAUUGAACAAUAAUUAUGCGCUAUUUCUUUUUCGAUUGCCAUAAAAACUAAGCGCUGGUUUGUCUGGAGUUAAAAUGCCUGCAAAGAGAAGUCUGAUAUGGAGUCAUUUCAAAAAUGCUGGCUCGAAACGUGCUAUGUGCAAACAUUGUUCAAAGAAAAUAAGUUUCAAUGGCGGGUCCCUAGGAAAUUUAAGCCGCCACAUGAAACUUCGGCAUUCUAUGAUUCGCUGGCAUGAUACGACUCUUAAUGGUAACGGCGAAGGAAACAUACCAGAGGAUCAAUUAGAGCAGGGCGAUCAAUCAACGCAAAGUGAGCAGCAAUUGCAGGCGGAGCAGCUGCUGCAGAUGAAUAAACGGUGCUCUGCAAGCGACUUCAUAUCUACCUUAUAUGAAUUCGCGUUUGUGCUCUUAUUUUAUAUUAGUCUU